rnacentral:rRNA from 1 species
UGGGGAAUAUUGCGCAAUGGGCGAAAGCCUGACGCAGCCACGCCGCGUGAGUGAUGAAGGCCUUCGGGUUGUUAAAGCUCUGUCGGGAGGGACGAAAGCGAAAGCUUGACGGUACCUCGCAAGAAAGCACCGGCUAACUCUGUGCCAGCAGCCGCGGUAAUACAGAGGGUGCAAGCGUUGCUCGGAUUUACUGGGCGUAAAGCGUACGCAGACGGUGAGAAAGGUCGGAUGUGAAAGCCCCGGGCUCAACCCGGGAACUGCAUCCGAAACCAUCUCGCUCGAGUAUGGGAGAGGGAAGCGGAAUUCCUGGUGUAGAGGUGAAAUUCGUAGAUAUCAGGAGGAACAUCUGCGGCGAAGGCGGCUUCCUGGCCCAUUACUGACGUUCAGGUACGAAAGCGUGGGUAGCAAACAGGAUUAGAUACCUGGUAGUCCACGCCGUAAACGAUGUGUGCUGGGAUGGUCGGGGUAUUCACCCCCUCGGUAUCGAAGCCAACGCG